GAUGAACGCUGGCGGCGUGCCUAAUACAUGCAAGUCGAGCGAACGGACGAGAAGCUUGCGUCCCUGAUGUUAGCGGCGGACGGGUGAGUAACACGUGGAUAACCUACCUAUAAGACUGGGAUAACUUCGGGAAACCGUAGCUAAUACCGGAUCAUAUUUUGAACCGCAUGGAUCAAAAGUGAAAGACGGUCUUGCUGUCACUUAUAGAUGGAUCCGCGCUGCAUUAGCUAGUUGGUAAGGUAACGGCUCACCAAGGCAACGUUGCAUAGCCGACCUGAGAGGGUGAUCGGCCACACUGGAACUGAGACACGGUCCAGACUCCUACGGGAGGCAGCAGUAGGGAAUAUUCCGCAAUGGGCGAAAGCCUGACGGAGCCACGCCGCGUGAGUGAUGAAGGUCUUCGGAUCGUAAAGCUCUGUUAUUAGGGAAGAACAUAUGUGUAAGUAACUGUGCACAUCUUGACGGUACCUAAUCAGAAAGCCACGGCUAACUACGUG
rnacentral:rRNA from 1 species